GAACCGUACAAACGUUAUUCGGGAAUCACUGGGCUUAAAGGGUGCGUAGGCGGUCCGGCAAGUUGGGUGUGAAAAUCCCCUCGGGCUCAACCGAGGGAACUGCGCUCAAAACCGCCGGACUUGAGGGAAGCAGAGGUGAGCGGAACUUAGGGUGGAGCGGUGAAAUGCGUUGAUAUCCUAAGGAACACCAGUAGCGAAAGCGGCUCACUGGGCCUCUUCUGACGCUGAUGCACGAAAGCUAGGGGAGCGAACGGGAUUAGAUACCCCGGUAGUCCUAGCUGUAAACGAUGAGCACUGGGUUGGAGGCUCCUCCAUAGGCUUCCAGCCGUAGCGAAAGUGUUAAGUGCUCCGCCUGGGGAGUAUGGUCGCAAAGGCUG
rnacentral:rRNA from 1 species